rnacentral:lncRNA from 1 species
CUCAAGCGGUCUUCCCCUUCAGCCUUCCAACUAACUGGGACCACAGGUUUCUACUUACUGAAUAGUUCCUUCGUGAAGUUUCAGGAUUGCAAAAUGCAGAAGCUUCGUCACGUUAAAUACACCUGGGAGGAGCCACGCCUCAUUUUUAAAGCUUUCCAGGGCAAUGAAUGAAGUCAGACCACUGACAACAGCCACCUUGUGGAAAGAGAGGUGUGGUGGCUGCCAUCUCCAUGCACAUGGCAGCCUGGCUGGAGAUGAAGUAUGCGAAGAAGGCGCUGCAGACCUGAAUUUAUUGGCACAACCCUGGGACCAGCUGGGGACCAUGUAGAGCCUCG